CCGAGUUUACAACUCCCAAACCCCUGUGAACCAUACCCUAUACGUUGCCUCGGCGGAUCAGCCGCGCCCUGUAACGGGGGACCGCCAGAGGACCCAUAACUCUUGCAUUUCUUAGUUGUAACUCUGAGUUUGCUAAAACAAAUAAAUCA
rnacentral:misc_RNA from 1 species